rnacentral:rRNA from 1 species
UGCCAGCAGCCGCGGUAAUACGAAGGGGGCAAGCGUUGUUCGGAAUUACUGGGCGUAAAGGGCGCGUAGGCGGACUUACCAGUCAGGGGUGAAAUCCCGGGGCUUAACCUCGGAACUGCCUCUGAUACUGUAAGUCUAGAGUCCGAGAGAGGUAAGCGGAAUACCCAGUGUAGAGGUGAAAUUCGUAGAUAUCCGGAGGAACACCAGAGGCGAAGGCGGCUAUCUGGACCAGUACUGACGCUGAGGAGCGAAAGCGUGGGGAGCAAACAGGAUUAGAUA